CCCUUAGAUGUUCUGGGCCGCACGCGUGCUACACUGAGUGGAUCAGCGGGUCAGGUUACGCGAGAGCGUUUCCUAAUCUUCAAAUCCGCUCGUGAUGGGGAUUGACGGUUGCAAUUUUCCGUCAUGAACGAGGAAUACCUUGUAAGCGCGGGUCAUCAUCCCGCGCUGAAUACGUCCCUGCCCUUUGUACACACCGCCCGUCGCUCCUACCGAUUGAGUGGUCCGGUGAGGCUUUGGGAUCUAAGCGAAAAGAGCGUUUCGCUCCGUUUGCUGGGAGAACUCAGUCGAACCUUAUCAUUUAGAGGAAGGAGAAGUCGUAACA
rnacentral:rRNA from 1 species